AGCGAACGUUUGCGGCGGGCCUAACACAUGCAAGUCGAACGCACUAGCAAUAGUGAGUGGCGCACGGGUGCGUAACACGUGGGUAAUCAACCCUUCAGCUUGGGAUAACGACUUGAAAGGGUCGCUAAUACCGGAUACGGCGCGGGAGGCUUCGGCUUCUCACGAGAAAGCCUCGCAAGGGGCACUGAAGGACGAGCCUGCGGCCCAUCAGCUAGUUGGUGAGGUAAGAGCUCACCAAGGCGAAGACGGGUAGCUGGUCUGAGAGGAUGAUCAGCCACACUGGAACUGAGACACGGUCCAGACUCCUACGGGAGGCAGCAGUGGGGAAUAUUGCGCAAUGGGCGAAAGCCUGACGCAGCCACGCCGCGUGAGCGAUGAAGGCCUUCGGGUCGUAAAGCUCUGUGGGAGGGACGAAGGGGGAAACGUCUGACGGUACCUCGCAAGAAGCACCGGCUAACUCUAGUGCCAGCAGCCGCGGUAAU
rnacentral:rRNA from 1 species